GCCGGGCAGGGGUCGCCGCCCGGGCUCGGUCAAUCGGUACCUUCAUGAAGGUCUCUACCGCGCCUUUGGCCGUGUCCAGAGCUCAAGAGGAUAAAUGCAGAUGGAACUAUGGGAAGUGAAUGAAUGACUGCCCAAGCUGAUGAGUCAAACUAAGUACUCCAUAGGCCAACUAAGUGCUCCACAGAAAUCCCUGUGAUGGCUACUAGGAAAUGGUAAAGCAAGCAUUAUCAUCUGAGCUCCUGAUGGACAGAGAUGCCAGGAGGGUCUUUCUAUGUAUUUCCAGCUGGCCUUGAAUUCAC